UGCUAAUACCGCAUAAAAACUUUAAACACAAGUUUUAAGUUUGAAAGAUGCAAUUGCAUCACUCAAAGAUGAUCCCGCGUUGUAUUAGCUAGUUGGUGAGGUAAAGGCUCACCAAGGCGAUGAUACAUAGCCGACCUGAGAGGGUGAUCGGCCACAUUGGGACUGAGACACGGCCCCAACUCCUACGGGAGGCAGCAGUAGGGAAUCUUCGGCAAUGGACGAAAGUCUGACCGAGCAACGCCGCGUGAGUGAAGAAGGUUUUCGGAUCGUAAAACUCUGUUGGUAGAGAAGAACGUUGGUGAGAGUGGAAAGCUCAUCAAGUGACGGUAACUACCCAGAAAGGGACGGCUAACUACGUGCCAGCAGCCGCGGUAAUACGUAGGUCCCGAGCGUUGUCCGGAUUUAUUGGGCGUAAAGCGAGCGCAGGUGGUUUAUUAAGUCUGGUGUAAAAGGCAGUGGUCAACCAUAGCAUGCAUUGGAAAAUGGUAGACUUGAGUGCAGGAGAGGAGAGUGGAAUUCCAUGUGUAGCGGUGAAAGCUGUAGAUAUAUGGAGGACCACCGGUGGGGAGAGAGGCUAUUUGGCCUGUAACUGACAAGGAGGCUUGAAAGCGUGGGGAGCAAACGGGAUUAGAUUCCUUGCUAGUACACGCCGUAAACGGAGAGUGCAAGAUGUAGGGAGCUAUAAGUUCUAAGUUGUGCAGCC
rnacentral:rRNA from 1 species